rnacentral:rRNA from 1 species
GAUUAAGCAAAGAAGAGCGCAGGGUGGAUGCCUUGGCACUAAGAGCCGAAGAAAGACGUGAUAAGCUGCGAAAAGCUGCGGGGAGAUGCAAAUAAUCCUUGAUCCGCAGAUGUCUGAAUGGGGAAACCCGGUACGAAGAACUCGUAUCAUCCAUACGCCAAUCCAUAACGUAUGGAGGGGAACCCGGUGAACUGAAACAUCUAAGUAGCCGGAGGAAGAGAAAGAAACAUCGAUUUUGUUAGUAGCGGCGAGCGAAAGCGAAAGAGGCCAAACCGGAGUGCGUGCACUCCGGGGUUCGGACCGCAUUUAAGAUUCAGUGAUUCUAGCAGAAAGGUUUGGGAAAGCCUGCCGGAGAGGGUGAAAGCCCCGUAAGCGAAAGGAGAGCUGACUGAGCGGAAUCCAGAGUACAUCGAGACACGAGAAACCUUGAUGGAAAGAGCGGGGACCACCCCGUAAGCCUAAAUACUACUUAGUGACCGAUAGCGCAUAGUACUGUGAAGGAAAGGUGAAAAGGACCCCGGGAGGGGAGUGAAAGAGAACCUGAAACCCUGUGUUUACAAGCUGUGGAAGUUCUUUAAAUGAACAACCGCGUACUUUUUGUAGAACGGUCCGGCGAGUUGCGGAUACUGGCAAGGUUAAGCACUUAAGGUGCGGAGCCGAAGGGAUACCAAGUCUUAACAGGGCGUAAAGUCAGUAUACGCAGACCCGAAACCGGGUGAUCUAUCCAUGUCCAGGUUGAAGUUGUCGUAAAAGACAAUGGAGGACCGAAGCCACAUCCGUUGAAAAGGGUGGGCAUGAGGUGUGGAUAGGGGAGAAAUUCCAAUCGAACCCGGAGAUAGCUGGUUCUCCUCGAAAUAGCUUUAGGGCUAGCCUCGAUUUAGUCUUAUGGAGGUAGAGCACUGAAUUUCCGCGGGGGCGUCAAAGCUUACCAAAGAAUAUCAAACUCCGAAUGCCAUGUAGAUGAUGAUCGGGAGUCAGACUGCACGAGAUAAGUUGGGCAGUCAAAAGGGAAAGAGCCCAGACCACCGGCUAAGGUCCCAAAGUGCGUGUUAAGUGGAAAAGGAUGUGGGAAUUCGAAGACAACUAGGAUGUUGGCUCAGAAGCAGCCAUACAUUCAAAGAGUGCGUAACAGCUCACUAGUCGAGAGUUCCUGCGCCGAAAAUGUCCGGGGCUGAAACACGACACCGAAGCCGUGGACUCGCAAUGCGAGUGGUAGAGGAGCAUUCUUAAAACCGACGAAGCUGUACCGGAAGGAGCAGUGGAGGGAUAAGAAGAGAGAAUGCCGGAAUGAGUAGCGAGAGAAAGGUGGGAAUCCUUUCGGCCGAAUAUCUAAGGUUUCCAGAGUAAAGCUGAUCUGCUCUGGGUAAGUCGGGGCCUAAGCACAGGUCGCAAGACGUAAGCGAUGGAUAACAGGUUUAGAUUCCUGUACCACGCAUUAUCAGAACUGUAGGGACGCAUGUGGAAAGCACG